CGGACUGGCGGCGUGCUUAACACAUGCAAGUCGAACGAAGCAUCUCGCCCGAAGAAAUGGAGUGCUUGCACAAAGUGGAUUCAAUUGAGAUGACUGAGUGGCGGACGGGUGAGUAACGCGUGGGUAACCUGCCCUAUACAGGGGGAUAGCAGUUGGAAACGACUGAUAAUACCGCAUAAGCGCACAGUACCGCAUGGUACAGUGUGAAAAACUCCGGUGGUAUAGGAUGGACCCGCGUCUGAUUAGCUAGUUGGUGAGGUAACGGCUCACCAAGGCGACGAUCAGUAGCCGACCUGAGAGGGUGACCGGCCACAUUGGGACUGAGACACGGCCCAAACUCCUACGGGAGGCAGCAGUGGGGAAUAUUGCACAAUGGGCGAAAGCCUGAUGCAGCGAACCGCCGCGUGAGUGAUGAAGUAUUUCGGUAUGUAAAGCUCUAUCAGCAGGGAAGAUAAUGACGGUACCUGACUAAGAAGCACCGGCUAAAUACGUGCCAGCAGCCGC
rnacentral:rRNA from 1 species